UUGCAAUAAGUUUGAGAAUAGCAAGCCGUUCGCAUUCAUUCAAUCGAUCGACGUCGUUACAGAAGCACACACCUUUCAAUACACAUUUGUAGAGCGAAACAACUGUAAGGAAAAUAUUAUUUUAAUCACCAUUUGACGAGUAUGGCAUGGUCUCAGAGAUUGUAUUCGUGCUAUUUACAACGGCGAUGCGCCGAAGAACUAGUGCAUGCUCUAUAUUACAGUUGAAAAGUGUAUAUGACAAGAUGAUUAACGUUUGCUUUUGUUAAAUCAGGGCUUCCCCAGCCAGGACUUCGGCUCAGACUGUGGCAUGUUCAUGUUGAUGGUAGGUCAUAACGAGCUGUGAUGCACAAAUAUUGUAGUAUCUAGAAUAACUUUCCAACAUGGACUUUUUCUCACAUGUUGUCUCAUAUUUUUUUUUAAGUCUGCCAUGUACAUUGUUAUGGAGUCACAGUUUGACUACUCAGUUGUAAGUACUUUUCAACAUGCAGUGUCAUCCUCAAGGUUGUAUUUUGUAUUGUGCACUAAAAUGAAAUACAAACAACAAUUUCAGCAUGACAUGCCUGUUUUGCGGAGAUGGUGGUGCCUGUUGCUCUUAGAAAACAAUUCUUUGAACGGGUAGACAGUUUAAGUAAACUAGAUGCCCUAUUGAACUGGAAGACAAUCAAUAUAUUGUACUUAAAGAUAUAUUGUCAUUACAGAUAUGGGGAAAAUCUUUGCCCACUGGACCAAAGAAUGUCAGGAGCUUAUUGCUGGAAAGCAUACUCCGGUCUUAAGUCUAAAGAGGAUGGCAGAGCAGCAGGACACAGAGGUUAGAAAAUUGCCUUCGAAAAACAGUCCUUCAAAAUGCACACAGUUGUAUGGAUCAACAUUGUCUCGAUGUAUUUGGUAAUUGAUGUUACUUUUCAAAUUGACUUGUCCAGGAAACUAUGACGCAUUGAUGUCCAAAGAGUGUGCAUGGCAGAUUCCAUGAAAUUCUGUGUCUACCAGACAUCCGACACCACAGGAGAGAGGUGUGUUGCAGACUCAAUUUAAUAAAUGCAAUUAUCGGGGCCUAUUCAGUGAUUUUCCAUGAAGUGACCACUUUUACAUGUAGUUUGAAUGCACGAAUCAUGUGGGAAAAUUAUUUAUACAUUCAAAUGUGCGAAGUAUAAACAAUUGGACAGUGUGUGUGUUUAAAAUUAAGUUUGUCUCUCAUUUGAUCAGAUUGCUUUACCCUGAGGUAAAGUUUGAAAAAUGGGUCCAGUGCAAGACAUGCAGGGGCUGGCUGCAUCAAGAUUGUGCCGGGAUUGACAUGGAGUCCUUUGACUGUGGCUGUGAGGACUCCAUUGAGCAUCCUCGGUAUAACAUAAUUUAUCAAGGAAACAUAGUAUCAGUCAAAAAUACGAGGCUCAAAGGAUGAAAAAAUGAGGGCUUGCUCUUUUUCUUAUUUCUCUGCAGGAUCAAGGCUGCCGUUGACAGUGGAGGAAUUGGUGCUGUCUUUUCUAAGACACAGAUCAAGGUUGCUUUUGAAUGCAUUAUCAGUUGUUAAAGCCACCGUUUCUUUUACAGAUGAUUACAUUUUUGUCUCUUGCUCUUUGGUUUCAGACAUUGCACGAUGAUCUGCUCUCUGGAAACAUCCGCUCCAACAGGAUGUUUCUUUAGAGGAAACCCGCCACCUCACUCCGGCUCAAGCAGCAUCUAAAGAUAAGGUCACUAUGUUGGAGUGAGCAGCGCCUAAGUAAAAAUGCCAUCUAUCAUGAGUAUUUUUACUCUCGUAGGUGUUACAUUUGAAAGGUGUUUACUUUCUGUGUUUUUCUUCAAUAGAUGUUCUAGCUCCUGCGGUUUAUUGAGGAGGCAACAACCAUAUCGGAAAAAAUCAAAAGAGGCGAGAUUCACCUGCUUGAUUUUGUCUUUGAUGUCAUGCUCCCAGAGGUGAGUAGAUCAAACUAUAUAGCUUGCUUUGAAAA